GUCUUAUCAUGGGUUCCCUACAAGCACUUCACGAGGCAUUAUUCGAAAGACCAUUGUGAAGUGUUUGGGGGAACUCUCAGUAUCAA
rnacentral:pre_miRNA from 1 species